GAAUAUAGAGACAUGAAUGAAAGAAACAAUCUUUAGAAUUUCCCUUUUAAUUAUAUGCAAUAUUUUCUUUCUUUUGGUGAUCUAUCCCGUUUUGGCUGAUCAUAUUUCACUAUUAAUGUUCAUAAUUAAAAUGAAAGGGUAGAAAAUAUAUGGGUGGGUUGGGGUCGUGUUCUUGAGUGGGGAUGAGAUCUUUUUCAAGGCAUUAUAUUCUUAAAUUGUCUGUCUCAAAGAGGGCGCCCUCCAGCAGUUUUUUAUAUUAAUUAUUAUAACUUAUGUUAUAUUGUUUUUUCUUCCUGG
rnacentral:lncRNA from 1 species